rnacentral:rRNA from 1 species
UGCCUAAAACAUAACAUUAAUGCAUUGGAUCCCAUUAGAACUCCGCAGUUAAGCAUGCUAGGGAUAGAGUAGUACUGGGAUGGGUGACCGCUCGAGAAGUACUAGUAUUUUACAUGC